CCGGCUUUAGAACUCUGCGGUUUUGUGGAGCUCGAGAGUCCGGGACAAGAUAUCUAUUGGAUGCUGAUGAUUAUGAAACAAAGUAGCAAAGAUAAGAAGCCAUUUGCUCAUUCUGCUCCUUUGCCAGCAAUAUUUCACAAAGCCCCUGACUCAUUGACUGUGAGCAGCCUUGUGGAAGAAUGCCUUGAAGACCAUAAGCAGGAUAGGGAAUAGGUUUGCACAUCUCUUGCCUGAAUCACUGAAUUUUUACAAAAGGUAAGUUUGGUGAUCCUAGCCCUUGCCUCUUCCUGUACAUAAGAUAAUGUCUGACAAGAUUAAUGAUUAUGCCUCAAAUUCAUGACCAGAUGUAACUUCAUACCCACACUUUGAUGAGACUUUACUUGUAUUAACCCAUUUUCAUACUGCUAUGAAGAAAUACCCAAGACUGCAUAAUUUCUAAAGAAAAAGGCUUAGUGGACUCACAGUUCCACAUGGCUGGGGAAGCCUCACAAUCAUGGUAGAAGAUGAAGAAGGAGCAAAGGCACAUCUUACAUGGCAGCAGGUGAGAGAGCAUGUGCAGAGGAACUACCCUUUAUAAAACCAUCAGAGGCCAGGUGCAGUGGCUCACACCUGUAAUCCUAGCACUUUGGGAGGCCGAGGCAGGCAGAUCAUCUGAGGUCAGGCAUUCAAGACCAGCCUGGCCAACAUGGCAAAACCCCAUGUUUCAAAAUUAGCUCAGUGUGGGGGCACAUGCCUGUAAUACCAGCUACUAGGGAGGCUGAGGCAGGAGAAUCGCUUGAACCUGGGAGGCAGAGGUUGCAGUGAGCCAAGAUCACGCUACUGUACUCCAGCCUGGGCAACAGAGCCAGACUUUGUCUCAAAAAAUAAAAUGAAAUAAAAUAAAAAUAAAUAAAUAGAUAGAUAAAUAAAACCAUCAGAGCUCGUGAGAACUCACUACCAUGACAACAUGAGGGUAACUGAUCCCAUAAUUAAAUUACUUCCCAUCAGGUCCCUCCCUUGACACUUGGGGAUUAUGGGAGCUACAAUUCAAGAUGAGAUUUGGGUUGGGACACAGCCAAACCAUAUCAUUCCACCCUGGCCCCUCCAAAAUCUCCUGUCCUCACAUUUCAAAAGCAAUCAUGCCUUACCAGCAGUCCCCCAAAGUCUUAACUCAUUUCAGCAUUAACUCAAAAGUCUACAGUCCAAAGUCUCAUCUGAGACAAGGCAAGUCCCUUCUGCCUAUGAGCUUGUAAAAUCAUAAGCAAGUUAAGUUACUUCCUAAAUACAAUGGGGGUACAAGCAUUGGGUAAAUACACCCAUUCCAAAUGGGAGAAAUAGGCCAAAAUGAAGGGACUACAGGGCCCAUGCAAGUCCAAAAUCCAGCAGGGCAGUCAAAUCUUAAAGCUCCAAAAUGAUCUGCUUUGACUCCGUGUCUCACAUCCAGUUCACGUUGAUACAAGAGGUAGGUUGCCAUGGUCUUGGGCAGCUCUGCCCCUGUGGCUUUGCAAGAUACAGCCUCCUUCCCAGCUGCUUUAACAGGCUGGCAUUGAGUGUCUCUGGCUUUCCCAGGCAUAUGCUGCAAGCUGUUGGUGGAUCUACCAUCCUGGGGUCUGGAGGAUGGUGGCCCUCUUCUCACAGCUCCACUAGGCACUGCCCCAGUGGGGACUCUGUGUGGGGGAUCCCACCCCACAUUUCCCUUCUGCAUUGCCCUUCUGCCUUAGCAGAGGUCGUGCAUGAGGGCCCUGCCCCUGCAGCACACCUCUGCCUGAACAUCCGGGUGUUUCCAUACAUCCUCUGAAAUCUAGGCAGGGUUCCCAAACCUCAAUUCUUGACUUCCGUGCACCCACAGUCCCAAUAUCACAUGUGAGCAGCCUGAGACUGCACAAAGCAGCAAGGCCCUGGGCCCAGCCCAUAAACCCAUUUUUCCUCCUUGGCCUCCUGGCUUGUGAUGAGAGGGACUUCCAGGAAGACCUCUUACAUGCCCUGGAGACAUUUUUCCCAUUGUCGUGGUAAUUAACAUGUGGCUUCUUGUUACUUAUGCAAAUUUCUGCAGCAGGCUUGAAUUUCUCCGCAAAAAAUGGGUUUUUCUUUUCUAUCACGUCAUCAGGCUGCAAGUUUUCCUUUUAUGCUCUGCUUCCUCUUGAACGCUUUGCCACUUAGAAAUUUCUUCCCUCAGGUACCCUAAAUCAUCUCUCUAAAGUUCAAAGUUCCACAGAUAACUAGGGCAGGGGCAAAAUGCCACCAGUCUCUUUGCUAAAGCAUAGCAAGAGUGACCUUUAUUCCAUUUCCCAACAAGUUCCUCAUCUCCAUCUGAGACCACCUCAGCCUGGACUUCUUUGUCCGUAUCCCUAUUAGCCUUCUGAUCAAAGCCAUUCAACAAGUCUCUAGGAAGUUCCAAACUUUCCUACAUCUUUCUGUCUUCUGAGCCCUCCAAGUCUCUAGGAAGUUCCAGAGUUUCCCACAUUUUCCUGUCUUCUUCUGAGCCCUCCAAACUGUUCCAACCUCUGCCUGUUACCCUGUUCCAAAGUUGCUUCAACAUUUUCUGUUAACCUUAUAGCAGAGCCCCACUACCUCAGUUCCAAUUUACUGUAUUAGUCCAUUUUCAUACUACUGUGAAGAAAUAGCCAAGACUGGGUAAUUUAUAAAGAAAAAGAGGUUCAGUGGACUCACAGUUCCACAUGGCUGGGGAGGCCUCACAAUCGUGACAGAAGGCAAAGGAGGAGCAAAGACACAUCUUACCUGGCAGCAAGGCAAGAGAGAGAGCAUGUGCGGAGGAACUGCCCUUUAUGAAACCAUCAGAUUUCCUGAGAUUUAUUCACUAUCAUGAGACCAGCAGGGGAAAAACUUGCCCCCAUGAUUAAAUUACUUCCCACCGGGUCCUACCAUUGACACAUGGGGAUUAUGGGAGCUACAAUUCAAGAUGAGAUUUGAGUGGGGACACAGCCAAACCAUGUCAUUAAUGUAAUUUCUGAGCACAUUUGAUGUAACUUCUUAACACAUGCAGAGCAACCACCACCUAUGUUUAAGCUAUGGGGUGAAUCAAUGCUUUGCAGCAAUAUAACAAACUCUUUGAAAGAUUCUCCCAGGUUGCAGUACUCAGUAGGACUUCUGAAUAAAAUUAACUUUAAUUAUUUAAAAGCCUGUUUUUUUUUCUUUAGUUGACAUAACAUACCAGGAUAUUGUAGCUGGAAAUACAUAGGAGGUUCUUGCUCUCACGAACCUUACAUUCCAGUAAGGAAAACAGACAAUAAGAAAAAAGAAAAAUGAAUACAAUAAAUUCUCAUGGUGAUACAAAUAAGGUAAGAUGACAGAAACUGAAGGGAGAGGGAGACACUACUUCAGUGAGGUGGUCAGUGAAAACCUCUCUGCAAAGGUGGUGUGAAAUCUGAGACCUGAAUGACAAGAAAGAACUAGCGAUGCAAACAUCUGCGGGUGGCACAUUUCUAAUAUUUAUUUUUUACUAGUUUUAUUUUGUGUUAAUUUUACGUUUAACUAUCUGGAAUAUAUUUUGGUACAGGAGUCCCCCUUAUCCAAGGGGGAUAUGUAUCAAGCCCCCCAGUGGAUACCUGAAAUCACAGAUAGCGCUGAACCCUAUAUGUACUGUUUUUUCCUACAUAUAUGUAUCUAUGAUAAAGUUUAAUUUAUAAAUUAGGCAUAGUAAGAUAUUUACAAAAAUAAUAAUAAAAUUGAACAGUUAUAACAAUAUACUGUAUAAAUCUUAUGUGAAUGUGAUCUCUCUCUCUCUCAAAAUCUGCCAUACUUACCUAUUGCCAGACCACAGUUGACCAUGGCUAACUGAAAUCAUGGAAAGCAAAACCACAAAUAGGGAGGGCUACUGUAUGUUCUAUAAGAUAAUAUGUGAAUUGUCUAUUGCUACAUAACAAACCACCCAAAACUUUGUGAUGUGUCCAAGCCCAAGGAUGCAAGGUUUCCAAGCUUCCAGAUCCCAAGGAUACCAGGAAACAGGAUUCCCAGGAGGCCAUUGCUAUAAUGAUCUACCACUAUUUUUACCAAAACUGGUAUUUGUAUUAGGCUGUUCUCCCAUUGCUGUAAAGAAAUACCUGAGACUGGCUAAUUUGUAAAGAAAAGAGGUUCCAUAGGCUGUACAGGAAGCAUGAUGCUAGCAUCUUCUCAGCUUCUGGGGAAGCCUCAGGAAACUUACAAUCAUGGUGGAGGGCAAAGUGGGAGUCAGUACGUCACAUGGCCAGAGCAGUGAGAGAGGAGGGAGGUGAUACACACUUUUUAAAUGGCCAGAUGUCAGGAGAACUCACUAUCCUGAGGACAGUACCAAGGGAGAUGCUGCUAAACCAUUCAUGAGUAAUCCACUCAUCCACCACCACGAUCCAAUCACCUCCCACAAGGCCCCACCUCCAAUAUUGGGGAUCACAACCCCACAUGAGAUUUGGGUGGGGACACAGAUUCUGUAUCAGUGUUGUUAUUCAAAAAAUUUUGUACAUAGUCCUUACCUUUCCCAUUUCCUUGUGAUAUUCCUUUAUGAAAUUGUUAGAAGAAAUAGAAUAUUUCAGCUGGGUGCAGCCGGUAAUCCCAGCACUUUGGGAGGCUGAAGCGGGUGGACCAUAUGAGACCAGGAGUUCUGAGAUCAGCCUGGCCAACAUGGCGAAACCCCAUCUCUACUAAAAAUACAAAAAUUAGCUGGGCGUGGUGGUACAUGCCUAAAAUACCAGCUACUUGGGAGGCUGAGGCACGAGAAUUGUUUGAACCUGGGAGACAGAGGUUGCAGUGAGCCAAGAUCGCACCACCGCACUCCAACCUGGGCAACAGAGCGAAACUGUCUCAAAAAAAAGAAAAAGGCGGUAUUUCUAGGUAUUCUGUUCCUUCUACACAACUAUUUUGAGGCCAGUGCCAUGUUAAUUAUUGUUGCUUUUAAUAUGUCCUAAUAUUUAACCAUUAGGGCUAACCAUUUUGCUAUUUCAUUUUUCACAAAAUUAUUGAUUUCACCUGAAAAUUUUCUAACCAAAUUUUACACAAAUUUGUUCAAGUUAAAAGAAAUGCUACUUGGAUUUUUAGUGGGAUUAUACAAAAUCUAUUAAUAAGUUUAAUAGAAACUGACAUCUUUAUAUUUACUCUUCUCAUCUGAGAACAUGGAGAUCUAUUUAUUUGAGAGAUUUUAAAAAAUUAUUUUUGGCCA
rnacentral:lncRNA from 1 species